AGCUAAUAGAUACCCGGGUAGUCCACGCCCUAAACGAUGUCUACUAGUUGUUGGUGGAGUAAAAUCCAUGAGUAAACGCAGCUAAACGCGUGAAGUAGACCGCCUGGGGAGUACGGUCGCAAGAUUAAAAACUCAAAGGAAUUGACGGGGACCCGCACAAGCGGUGGAUUAUGUGGAUUAAAUUCGAUGCAACGCGAAAAACCUUACCUGGCCUUGACAUGCCACUAACGAAGCAGAGAUGCAUUAGGUGCCCGUAAGGGAAAGUGGACACAGGUGCUGCAUGGCUGUCGUCAGCUCGUGUCGUGAGAUGUUGGGUUAAGUCCCGCAACGAGCGCAACCCUUGCCAUUAAUUGCCAUCAUUUAGUUGGGCACUUUAAUGGGACUGCCGGUGACAAACCGGAGGAAGGUGGGGAUGACGUCAAGUCCUCAUGGCCCUUAUGGCCAGGGCUUCACACGUAAUACAAUGGUCGGUACAGAGAGUUGCCAACCCGCGAGGGGUAGCUAAUCUCAGAAAGCCGAUCGUAGUCCGGAUUGUUCU
rnacentral:rRNA from 1 species